rnacentral:rRNA from 1 species
AGCGAACGCUGGCGGCAGGCCUAACACAUGCAAGUCGAACGGCAGCACAGAGGAGCUUGCUCCUUGGGUGGCGAGUGGCGGACGGGUGAGGAAUACAUCGGAAUCUACUCUGUCGUGGGGGAUAACGUAGGGAAACUUACGCUAAUACCGCAUACGACCUACGGGUGAAAGCAGGGGAUCUUCAGACCUUGCGCGAUUGAAUGAGCCGAUGUCGGAUUAGCUAGUUGGCGGGGUAAAGGCCCACCAAGGCGACGAUCCGUAGCUGGUCUGAGAGGAUGAUCAGCCACACUGGAACUGAGACACGGUCCAGACUCCUACGGGAGGCAGCAGUGGGGAAUAUUGGACAAUGGGCGCAAGCCUGAUCCAGCCAUACCGCGUGGGUGAAGAAGGCCUUCGGGUUGUAAAGCCCUUUUGUUGGGAAAGAAAUCCAUCUGGUUAAUACCCGGGUGGGAUGACGGUACCCAAAGAAUAAGCACCGGCUAACUUCGUGCCAGCAGCCGCCGCAG